ACUGACACUUUUCGGACUCAGCCUGCCUGCACCCAGGUGAUUAAAAGCUUUAUUGCUCACACAAAGCCUGUUUGGUGGUCUCUUCACAUGGAUGCGCAUGAAAUUUGGUGCGGUGACUCGGAUCGGGGGACCUCCCUUGGGAGAUCAAUCCCCUGUCCUCCUGUUCUUUGCUCCGUGAGAAAGAGCCACCUACGACCUCAGGUCCUCAGACCAACCAGGCCAAGAAACAUCUCACCAAUUUCAAAUCCGGCAGGAAUGUCAGGCCUCUGAGCCCAAGCCAAGCCAUCGCAUCCCCUGUGACUUGCACGUAUACGUCCAGAUGGCCUGAAGUAAUUGAAGAAUCACAAAAGAAGUGAAUAUGCCCUGCCCCACCUUAACUGAUGACAUUCCACCACAAAAGAAGUGUAAAUGGCUGGUCCUUGCCUUAAGUGAUGACAUUACCUUGUGAAAGUCCUUUUCCUGGCUCAUCCUGGCUCAAAAAGCACCCCCACUGAGCACCUUGCGACCGCCACUCCUGCCCGCCAGAGAACAAACCCCCAUUGACUAUAAUUUUCCUUUACCUACCCAAAUCCUAUAAAAUGGCCCCACCCUUAUCUCCCUUCGCUGACUCUCUUUUCGGACUCAGCCUGCCUGCACCCAGGUGAUUAACAGCUUUAUUGCUCACA
rnacentral:lncRNA from 1 species